UGGGGAAUUUUGGACAAUGGGCGAAAGCCUGAUCCAGCAAUGCCGCGUGUGUGAAGAAGGCCUUCGGGUUGUAAGGCACUUUUGUCCGGAAAGAAAUCCUUGGCUCUAAUACAGUCGGGGGAUGACGGUACCGGAAGAAUAAGCACCGGCUAACUACGUGCCAGCAGCCGCGGUAAUACGUAGGGUGCAAGCGUUAAUCGGAAUUACUGGGCGUAAAGCGUGCGCAGGCGGUUUGCUAAGACCGAUGUGAAAUCCCCGGGCUCAACCUGGGAACUGCAUUGGUGACUGGCAGGCUAGAGUAUGGCAGAGGGGGGUAGAAUUCCACGUGUAGCAGUGAAAUGCGUAGAGAUGUGGAAGAAUACCGAUGGCGAAGGCAGCCCCCUGGGCCAAUACUGACGCUCAUGCACGAAAGCGUGGGGAGCAAACAGGAUUAGAUACCCUGGUAGUCCACGCCCUAAACGAUGUCAACUAGUUGUUGGGGAUUCAUUUCCUUAGUAACGUAGCUAACGCGUGAAGUUGACCGCCUGGGGAGUACGGUCGCAAGAUU
rnacentral:rRNA from 1 species